UGGGGAAUAUUGCACAAUGGGCGCAAGCCUGAUGCAGCCAUGCCGCGUGUAUGAAGAAGGUCUUCGGGUUGUAAAGUACUUUCAGCGGGGAGGAAGGCGAUAAGGUUAAUAACCUUCUCUAUUGACGUUACCCGCAGAAGAAGCACCGGCUAACUCCGUGCCAGCAGCCGCGGUAAUACGGAGGGUGCAAGCGUUAAUCGGAAUUACUGGGCGUAAAGCGCACGCAGGCGGUCUGUCAAGUCGGAUGUGAAAUCCCCGGGCUCAACCUGGGAACUGCAUUCGAAACUGGCAGGCUAGAGUCUUGUAGAGGGGGGUAGAAUUCCAGGUGUAGCGGUGAAAUGCGUAGAGAUCUGGAGGAAUACCGGUGGCGAAGGCGGCCCCCUGGACAAAGACUGACGCUCAGGUGCGAAAGCGUGGGGAGCAAACA
rnacentral:rRNA from 1 species